UACGUAGGGGGCAAGCGUUGUCCGGAAUCAUUGGGCGUAAAGAGCGUGUAGGCGGCCCAGUAAGUCAGCUGUGAAAGUCAAAGGCUCAACCUUUGAAUGUCAGCGGAUACUGCUGGGCUAGAGUCCGGAAGAGGCGAGUGGAAUUCCUGGUGUAGCGGUGGAAUGCGCAGAUAUCAGGAGGAACACCAACGGCGAAGGCAGCUCGCUAGGACGGUACUGACGCUGAGACGCGAAAGCGUGGGGAGCGAACAGG
rnacentral:rRNA from 1 species